rnacentral:misc_RNA from 1 species
CAAGCGGAUUCCCAAUUUAGUUAUGCAUCAGAUUUAAUGGAUGCUGAUGAUUUGGGUGCCAAACAAAGUAAUGGUUCUCAGCAACAGAGCGAUUUCUUGGAUAUGGAUAAUUGUAUGAUUUCUAGACCCAUUGGGUUCUCACUUGAUGAAAAGAUGUUAAGGGCAUUAUCCUUGUUGAAAGAAUCUGCUGGUGAUGGCAUUUUGGCACAAGUUUGGGUUCCAAUGAGGCACAGAGAUCAAUAU